GUGAAUCAUCGAAUUUUUGAACGCAAAUUGCACUCUCCUCGGAGAGUAUGCCUGUUUGAGGGUCAGCCUAUAAAAAAUCGACAUCGUUGCUGUUUCGCGGUGGCGCUCGUCGGAAAUUGGGCAAUCUUAAAUCCUUUUGAUUUAAGCGACUUAAAAUUUUCUUUUGGUUUCAUGAACGUUUCUAAAAUCUUUUUCUUUAAAAGUUUAAGGUAUAGCUUUUUAUUAGACGUGACAAUAAUAUCUGAUAGCGUCCAUAAU
rnacentral:misc_RNA from 1 species